rnacentral:rRNA from 1 species
GUUUCCCAGUCACGAUAAUUAGGCAUGAGUAACGAAAAAAAGGGUGAGAUCCCCUUUCGCCGUAAGACUAAGGGUUCCUUGUUCGAUGCCAAUCAGAACAGGGUCAGCCGUGACCUAAGGGGAAGCCGAAAGGCGAACUUGAUGGCAAGCGGGUUAAUAUUCCUGCGCCUGUGCACACUAAAAAGGGGACGAAGGCAGUAAGCUGUCAGGUACUGACGGAAAAGUGCGUUGAGAGGAUGCUUAGGCUGAAUCGAGAUAGUGAAUGUCUUCCAAGAAAAGCCGAAGUGCACAGCCCGUACCGUAAACCGACACAGGUAGUCGAGGAGAGUAUCCUAAGGCGCGCGAGUGAUCCACGGUUAAGGAACUAGGCAAAAUAGCCCCGUAACUUCGGGAGAAGGGGCGCUCCUGGCAACAGGAGCCGCAGUGAAGAGGCCCAGGCGACUGUUUAACAAAAACACAGGACUCUGCGAAAUCGUAAGAUGAAGUAUAGGGUCUGACACCUGCCCGGUGCCGGAAGGUUAAGGAAGGGAGUCAUCUUCGGAGAAGCUCUUGACCGAAGCCCCGGUAAACGGCGGCCGUAACUAUAACGGUCCUAAGGUAGCGAAAUUCCUUGUCGGGUAAGUUCCGACCUGCACGAAUGGUGUAACGAUCUGGGCACUGUCUCAACCGUGAGCUCGGUGAAAUUGAAGUAUCGGUGAAGAUGCCGGUUACCCGCAACGGGACGGAAAGACCCCGUGAACCUUUACUAUAGCUUCACAUUGGUCUUGAGUAUAAGAUGUGUAGGAUAGGUGGGAGGCAAAGAAGGGCCGACGCUAGUUGGUUUGGAGCCGUCGUUGAAAUACCACCCUUUUUAUACUUAGGUUCUAACUUGCGAAAGGACAGUGUGUGGUGGGUAGUUUGACUGGGGUGGUCGCCUCCGAAAGAGUAACGGAGGCUUGCAAAGGUACCCUCAGCAUGGUUGGUAACCAUGCGCAGAGCGUAUGAGUAGAAGGGUGCUUGACUGCGAGACGGACGCGUCGAACAGGGACGAAAGUCGGCUCAAGUGAUCCGGUGGUUCCGCAUGGAAGGGCCAUCGCUCAAAGGAUAAAAGGUACUCCGGGGAUCAGGCUGAAGGCAACGCUCGCGCCGUAGUUGUUAGUUUAAGUUUAAGUUUAAGUUUAAGUUUAAGUUGAAGAGAGGCUGGGAGCGGAAAGGCUCCCGGCCUUUCUUUUUUAUGGAAGAUGGAAGAUCGCAGAUGGGAGAUGGGGAAUUUUUCGUGAACGUGAAGGUGAAGGUGAACGAAGGCGGCGAACUGGGCGAUUGAGGCUAGGUAGGGGCCGGGAUAAUAAACGCUAGCAAGGUCCCAGCUGAAAAGGCCAAGUCUACUGCUUCUCCAGAGAGGACUGGCCAGAAGUAGGAGAAGAUGAGCUUGAUUCCCAGGGCGCCAAUUACUACAAAUGCAAUCUCUUCAAUCACUGGAUUCCGGUGAAUUACUUUCAUAA